GCAUAGGAGAGGCCAAGAGAACAGGCUUAGAGCCACUGCCUCCAAGCACCACGGGUUUUGCAGGGAUGAACUUUGGGAGUCUGGACUCUUCAUCCUCAUACAGGCCUACGCUCAGUUCUCCGUACCAUGAAGGCAAGACCACAACUGACCUGGGAUUGGAGCUUUGAAUGCCUGGAUAACUGAGCACAGAGCUCUAGGUUUAGAUAAGAAAGUGCAAGCGAUGUUGACAGACCCAGGACCUCUGAGAUGAUUGCAAGGGUAAAGCCCUUGCUGUGUAAGCCUAGAGUUUGAUCCCUGGACACUACAUAAAAGUAGAGGAGGCAACCAACUCCAUAAAGCUGUCCCCUGACCUCCCCAUGUGUGCAACAAAUAAAAGAAAAAGAAAAGAAUUUGACAAGCUCAAUCUUGGGACACUGCAUCUCGUGUGAUAAUCACAGCUGCUGAGCUCAAGAACGCAGGGCGUGGAUUAUGCCCAGAAGAGUUUUCCACAGCACCCCAACCCUUCCUCUAGCUCCUACAUUCUUUCUGUCCCCUCAUCCAUGAUGCUCCCUGAGGCUUGGAGGAGAUCAGACGGCAUCCUGCUCAGUCACUUUGGUCACGUCCCAUCACUGUGGGUCAGAGAAGAGCCCUCAGAAGAAUGUUUUCUGAUUACACAAGACAGUAUUUGUCCCCUGGGAUAACAAGGAAUAAGAAUAAUAGCAUCUCCUGGCUGAGCACUGAAAGCUGUACACUGUAACCUAGCCUGUGGAAGAGCCCAGAAGCUGGCCCUUCAUCACAGCCAGUACUGGGAGAAGAGCUCCAGAACCGUAGCCAUCAUGAAUGACACGGUAACCAUCCGGACCAGGAAGUUCAUGACAAACCAUCUGCUUCAGAGGAAACAGUACCAAAGACAGAAAUUUGGGAAAAGCUGGCUAAGAUGUACAAAACCACACCAGAUGUCAUCUUUGUAUUUGGAUUCGGAACCCACUUCGGUGGUGGCAAGACAACUGGCUUCGGCAUGAUCUAUGAUUCUUUAAUAUGCAAAGAAGAAUGAGCUUCAACACAGACUUACAAGACGUGGCCUUUAUGAGAAGAAAAAGACCUCCCACAAACAGUGAAAGGAACACAAGAACAGAAUGAAGGUCAGGGGGACUGCAAAGGCCAAUGUUGGUGCUUGGAAAAAGCCAAAGGAGUAGCUCUGUGGUGACUUAAUAUUCUGCUGUGAUAUGCAGAUUUCUGAGAGGAUAAAAUAAACUAAAA
ensembl:lncRNA